rnacentral:tRNA from 1 species
UUCCUGGUGGCUCAGAUGGUAAAGAAUCUGCCUGCAAUGCAGGAGACCCAGGUUCGAUCCCUGGGUUGGAAA